UACAGAGGUCCCAAGCGUUGUUCGGAUUCACUGGGCGUAAAGGGUGCGUAGGCGGUCGGGUAAGUCUGAUGUGAAAUCUCACAGCUUAACUGUGAAACUGCAUUGGAUACUAUCCGGCUCGAGGAAUGGAGGGGAGACUGGAAUACUUGGUGUAGCAGUGAAAUGCGUAGAUAUCAAGUGGAACACCAGUGGCGAAGGCGAGUCUCUGGACAUUUCCUGACGCUGAGGCACGAAAGCCAGGGGGAGCAAAACGGGG
rnacentral:rRNA from 1 species